CCAUAGGGCAGGGUGCCAGGUAACGCCUGGGGGGGAAACCUACGACCAGUGCAACAGAGAGCAAACCGCCGAUGGCCCACGCAAGUGGGAUCAGGUAAGGGUGAAAGGGUGCGGUAAGAGCGCACCGCGCGGCUGGUAACAGUCCGUGGCACGGUAAACUCCACCCGGAGCAAGGCCAAAUAGGGGUUCAUAAGGUACGGCCCGUACUGAACCCGGGUAGGCUGCUUGAGCCAGUGAGCGAUUGCUGGC
rnacentral:RNase_P_RNA from 1 species